rnacentral:rRNA from 1 species
CAGCAGCCGCGGGAAUACGUAGGUGGCAAGCGUUGUCCGGAAUUAUUGGGCGUAAAGGGCUCGCAGGCGGUUUCUUAAGUCUGAUGUGAAAGCCCCCGGCUCAACCGGGGAGGGUCAUUGGAAACUGGGAAACUUGAGUGCAGAAGAGGAGAGUGGAAUUCCACGUGUAGCGGUGAAAUGCGUAGAGAUGUGGAGGAACACCAGUGGCGAAGACGACUCUCUGGUCUGUAACUGACGCUGAGGAGCGAAAGCGUGGGGAGCGAACAGGAUUAGAUACCCGAGUAGUCCCUGUCUCUUAUAC